rnacentral:lncRNA from 1 species
AGCGCGGGAAACAGAAACGAAGCGGCUGCCGGAAAGAGCCGAGGGGCGGAGAUCGGCGCGUUUCAGAGCGCUUUGCCCCGCCCCCUUUUCCGGAAAAACCCGAAGCGUUCCCGAAAGAGCCGAAGCGGGGUCGAAGCGCCGGAACGAGUCGAUCUCCUUCCGGAAGAAGCUGAAGCGCCCUCGGGCCCGCCGGAGUCUUUGCAGAAAGUGCUGAGGGGUCCCUGCCCCCCUUCCGGAGACCCCCGAGCCCCUCCCCCCAUUCCGGAGACCCCCCGAGCCCCUCCCUUCCCCCCCCCUGUUCCGGAGAUCCCCGAAGCGGUUCCGGAGCUCCCGGAAGCGGCUCCCGAGCAGCGCCGGCGGAGCCCGAGGCCGAAACGGUUCCGAAGCGGGUCCGGAACUCGCCAGGCGGCUCCGGAGUUUGCCGAGAGAUUCCGAAGCCCUGCGGAGGUUCUCGAAGCGAUUCCAGAGACCCGCGAAGCGGCCCCGGAGAUCGCCCAGAGGUUCCGAAGCGGUUCCGGAGAGUCCCGAACCUCCUCCCGCCUUUCCGGAAGGUUCCGAGCGGCUCCGGACAUCGCUGAGGCCGUUCCGCAAAGCCCCGAAACGGUUCCGAAGCGGUUCCGGAAGUCGCCAAGCACCUCCGGAGCUUCCCGAAGCGCUUCCGGAAACUCCCGAAGUCGCAGCGAAGCAAUUCCGGAGCUUUACGAAGAGAUCCCGGAAGUUGCCGAGCCGGCCGGCCCUCAGCGCUCGCCCCCGGUCCCCGUCGCCCCCGGAGCCCCCGAACCGGAGCCGCCCCCGGCUCGGCCCCGCUCCCUCGGCCCCGGGGGGGGCCCGGACCCGCCCCGGCCCCGCCGCCCCGGCCCGGCAGGAUGAUCAAGCUGUUCUCGCUGAAGCAGCAGAAGAAGGAGGAGGAAUCGGCGGGCGGCACCAAGAGCUCCAGCAAAAAGGCCUCGGCCGCGCAGCUUCGCAUCCAGAAAGGUCUGAGGGGAGGCGGCGGGCGCAGUCUGGGGCCAGCAGGGCCGCACACUGGGGCCAGUAAGAGCUGGACACUGGACCCAGUAAGGGUCCCAAACUGGGCCUGUGAGGGUCCCGAACUGGGACCAGUAAGGGCUGGAAACUGGGGCCAGUGAGGGUCUCAAGUGGGGCCAGCAGGGCUACACACUGCGGCCAGUAAUGGCCUCAUACUGGGGCCAGUGAGAGUCCCGAACUGGGACCAGUGAGGGCACACACUGGGCCCAGAAAAGGCCUCGAACUGCGGCCAGUAACGGCCACACACUGAGGCCAGUAAUGGCCGCACACGGGGCCCUGCCGGGCCUCAAACUGGGACCAGUAAGGGCCACAAAUUUGGGCCAGUAAGGGUCCCAAACUGACCCAAGUAAAGGCUGCAGACUGGGGC